UACGGAGGGUGCAAGCGUUGUUCGGAAUCACUGGGCGUAAAGGGCGCGCAGGCGGUUUGGUAAGUCAGAUGUGAAAGCCCACGGCUUAACCGUGGAAGUGCAUUUGAUACUGCUAGACUUGAGUACCAGAGGGGAAAGUGGAAUUCCCGGUGUAGAGGUGAAAUUCGUAGAUAUCGGGAGGAAUACCGGUGGCGAAGGCGACUUUCUGGCUGAGUACUGACGCUGAGGCGCGAAAGCGUGGGGAGCAAACAGG
rnacentral:rRNA from 1 species